rnacentral:rRNA from 1 species
UAGAGUUUGAUCCUGGCUCAGAUUGAACGCUGGCGGCAGGCCUAACACAUGCAAGUCGAGCGGCAGCGGGAAGUAGCUUGCUACUUUGCCGGCGAGCGGCGGACGGGUGAGUAAUGUCUGGGAAACUGCCUGAUGGAGGGGGAUAACUACUGGAAACGGUAGCUAAUACCGCAUGACGUCGCAAGACCAAAGUGGGGGACCUUCGGGCCUCACGCCAUCGGAUGUGCCCAGAUGGGAUUAGCUAGUAGGUGAGGUAAUGGCUCACCUAGGCGACGAUCCCUAGCUGGUCUGAGAGGAUGACCAGCCACACUGGAACUGAGACACGGUCCAGACUCCUACGGGAGGCAGCAGUGGGGAAUAUUGCACAAUGGGCGCAAGCCUGAUGCAGCCAUGCCGCGUGUGUGAAGAAGGCCUUAGGGUUGUAAAGCACUUUCAGCGAGGAGGAAGGCGUUGUAGUUAAUAGCUGCAACGAUUGACGUUACUCGCAGAAGAAGCACCGGCUAACUCCGUGCCAGCAGCCGCGGUAAUACGGAGGGUGCAAGCGUUAAUCGGAAUUACUGGGCGUAAAGCGCACGCAGGCGGUUUGUUAAGUCAGAUGUGAAAUCCCCGAGCUUAACUUGGGAACUGCAUUUGAAACUGGCAAGCUAGAGUCUUGUAGAGGGGGGUAGAAUUCCAGGUGUAGCGGUGAAAUGCGUAGAGAUCUGGAGGAAUACCCGGUGGCGAAGGCGGCCCCCUGACAAAGACUUCGCUCAGUCAAGCG